AUUGAACGCUGGCGGCAGGCCUAACACAUGCAAGUCGAACGAGUGGCGGACGGGUGAGUAAUGUAUGGGAAACUGCCCGAGGGAGGGGGAUAACUACUGGAACCGGUAGCUAAUACCGCAUACCAUCGGAUGUGCCCAGAUGGGAUUAGCUAGUUGGUGGGGUAAGGGCUCACCACGGCGACGCUCCCUGGCUGGUCUGAGAGGAUGACCAGCCACACGGGAACUGAGACACGGUCCAGACUCCUACGGGAGGCAGCAGUGGGGAAUAUUGCACAAUGGGCGCAAGCCUGAUGCAGCCAUGCCGCGUGUAUGAAGAAGGCCUUCGGGUUGUAAAGUACUUUCAGCGAGGAGGCGGUACUCGCAGAAGAAGCACUGGCUAACUCCGUGCCAGCCGCCGCGGUAAUAC
rnacentral:rRNA from 1 species